ACCUGGCUGGCUCAGUUGGUAGAGUAUGUGACUCUUGAUCUCAGGGUCAUGAGUUCGAGCCCCAUAUUGGGCA
rnacentral:tRNA from 1 species